GGGUGUUAGCCGCAUGGUGCGGUGAGACAGGUCUGUUGCGUUGGUCGGGCCGCCGCG
rnacentral:ncRNA from 17 species